rnacentral:rRNA from 1 species
CUCAGGAUGAACGCUAGCGGCAGGCCUAACACAUGCAAGUCGCGGGGCAGCACGGGUAGCAAUACCUGGUGGCGACCGGCGCACGGGUGCGUAACGCGUAUGCAACCUGCCCCCAUCAGGGGAAUAGCCCGCCGAAAGGCGGAUUAAUGCCCCAUAGGCCCAGGGCGCCGCAUGGCGCUAUGGGUAAAGCUCCGGCGGAUGGGGAUGGGCAUGCGUGCCAUUAGCUAGUUGGGGCGGUAACGGCGCACCAAGGCGACGAUGGCUAGGGGGUCUGAGAGGAUGGUCCCCCACACUGGUACUGAGACACGGACCAGACUCCUACGGGAGGCAGCAGUGAGGAAUAUUGGUCAAUGGGCGGAAGCCUGAACCAGCCAUGCCGCGUGCAGGAUGAAGGUCCUAUGGAUUGUAAACUUCUUUUAUAGUAGAAUAAAGUGAUCCACGUGUGGAUUUUUGUAUGUAUACUAUGAAUAAGGAUCGGCUAACUCCGUGCCAGCCGCUGC